AUUAGCGAAGUUGUAUAGAUAUUGAUUGAGACUUGUGUUGAUUUAGGAGAUGAAAUUGAUGAUUAUUGACUUCAGGUCCACAUAUAGAGACUGAGUGUUAGAUGUUGGAACCGGACUUGAAAAAUUUGAAAUAAAAUUCUACUUUUGUCAUGGCAAUCUGAAGAUUUCAAAUCCGUUUCUCAAUUGUCGUUCUUUCAUUCGGCGUUUCGAACAAUUACGAUCAAUUUUUUGAUAUGGUUUAUUUCUAAUCUAAAGUCUGGAUGGUGAAUUGAUAUUCAUUAUAUAGUUCUAAUUAUUUCCAGUCAUUAUAAAGUUCUAACUAUUUCCUGGAAGCACUGCACUGGAUGUUGUUCAUGUUAUCAAAAAGAACCAAGAAAAUGCUUUUGCAAAGCUAGCAACAGUAAUGUGACAUUUUCUAUUGUUGAUAAUGACAACCAUGUUGAACCAGUUAUUGAUGAAGGUAUAUGUGUAUAUAUUGUUUAUUAUUUAUGCAUUUAAUUAGUUCCGAAACUGGUUUUAUCUUGGACUAUAUCCUGGAAUUAUCAAUGUAUUCUACAUAUUUUUAGUGAACUGAACUGGUUAGUACAAACAAUACUUUUAGUCAAUCAUGCCUUUUAUGUUGUGAUCAUAGACUUCAGACCCAAAAACAAGCGGGUAUGUGAUAUAUGUGAGGAAACCAACCAUUUGUAUCUUAUUAUUAUCUAUAAUUUAUUUUUUAUUAUGUAGGGUAUAAAUCAUAUAUUGAAUAUGCUUUGCAGUCAAAUAUGGCAUCAUCACCGGAUUCUAUAUUGCAAUCUUAUCGGCAUGUUACCAACAUCUCUUGCUUCAACUGAUCUCAUAAGCUUAUCUGCCCUCCAAAGCUUCCGACGGAAGAUAGCGUGCAGAAGAUGCUGGACUCUGACGGGUCAUGUAUAUUGCACAACAUCAAAACUGGAAUAUGGAUAGCAGAUUUACAGGUUGUUCGGUGCCCUAUAUGUGACCUGAACACAUGUGAUGGAACAAUGUAGGUACUAGAAGCCAGACACUUGGAGCUCUUCCUCAAUGACGGGUUCGUAAAUGGAAGCUGGGAGUACGAGCUCGUAGGAUCUCAUGACAUCAAAAGACAUGUAAACAAUGCAUUUGGUGGCAUUUUGGAUUCAAAAC